GACGAACGCUGGCGGCGUGCCUAAUACAUGCAAGUCGAGCGAAUGACGAGAAGCUUGCUUCUCUGAUUUAGCGGCGGACGGGUGAGUAACACGUGGGCAACCUGCCCUACAGAUCGGGAUAACUCAGGGAAACCUGGGCUAAUACCGGAUAAUCCUUCGAAUCACAUGUUUUGAAGUUGAGAGGCGCUUCGGCGUCACUGUAGGAUGGGCCCGCGGUGCAUUAGCUAGUUGGUGGGGUAACGGCCUACCAAGGCAACGAUGCAUAGCCGACCUGAGAGGGGGAUCGGCCACAUUGGGACUGAGCAACGGCCCAAACUCCUACGGGAGGCAGCAGUAGGGAAUCUUCCACAAUGGACGAAAGUCUGAUGGAGCAACGCCGCGUGAGUGAUGAAGGUUUUCGGAUUGUAAAACUCUGUUGUAAGGGAAGAACAAGUACGUUAGGAAAUGAACGUACCUUGACGGUACCUUAUUAGAAAGCCACGGCUAACUACGUGCCAGCAGCCGCCGCCG
rnacentral:rRNA from 1 species